rnacentral:rRNA from 1 species
AGUCAAGCUGCUAAGGGCACGCGAAGGAUGCCUUGGCACAGGAGAUCGAUGAAGGACGUGGUAAGCUGCGAAAAGCCACGGGGAGGUGCAAGCGACCUUAGAUCCGUGGAUAUCCGAAUGGGGCAACCCACCUGCGGUAAUGCGCAGGUAUCCCGUGUAAGCGGGAGGAUAACCCGGGGAAGUGAAACAUCUAAGUACCCGGAGGAAAAGAAAGAGAGAUCGAUUCCCGUAGUAGCGGCGAGCGAACUGGGAAGAGCCUAAACCUGUCUGCAUGUAUAAGGCUGCAACCGUUGUGCAGCAGGGGUAGUGGGAUGUGAGGUUGACAAGUUGCAGCUUGUCAGAGGAGUUAGAAAGUUGGUUGGUAGCAGAAUCAUCUGGAAAGUUGAGCCACAGCGGGUGAUAGCCCCGUAUGCGAAAUCAACCAGCCUCCUUUCUCACACACCCGAGUACCGCGGGACACGUGAAAUCCUGUGGGAAUCUGUGCCGACCACGGCAUAAGGCUAAAUAUGCUCCUGUGACCGAUAGUGAACCAGUACCGUGAGGGAAAGGUGAAAAGCACCCCGGAAGGGGAGUGAAAUAGUACCUGAAAUCGCGUGCCUACAACCAGUCGGAGCUCCGGUAUAUCCGGGGUGACGGCGUGCCUUUUGCAUAAUGAGCCAGCGAGUUGUGGUAAGCAGCGUAGGUUAAGUCUUUCAGAGACGAAGCCGUAGCGAAAGCGAGUCUGAAUAGGGCGUCAUAGUUGCUUGCUGCAGACGCGAAGCCGGGUGAUCUACCCAUGGCCAGGAUGAAGGUUCGGUAACACGAACUGGAGGUCCGAACCCACUGGUGUUGAAAAACCAGGGGAUGAGCUGUGGGUAGGGGUGAAAGGCCAAUCAAACUCGGAGAUAGCUCGUUCUCCCCGAAAUAU